CGGUAAUUCCAGCUCCAAUAGCGUAUACUAAAGUUGUUGCAGUUAAAAAGCUCGUAGUUGGAUUUCUGCGGGGACGGAGCGGCCGGACGCAACUUGCGUCUCGAGCUAGCGCUUUCCCCGCAUCCUGCCGCGAACCGUGCUACCAUUAGCUUGGUGGCGCUGGGGAUCGGCUCGAUUACUUUGAGAAAAAUAGAGUGUUCAAAGCAGGCCACACGCCUUGAAUAAGUUAGCAUGGAAUAAUGACUAAGGACUUUGGUUCUUUUCGUUGGUGUUCGGGACUGAAGUAAUGAUUGAUAGGGACAGUUGGGGCGGUCUGUAUUCCAAAGCGAGAGGUGAAAUUCUUAGACCUUCGGAAGACAAACAGCUGCGAAAGCGUUCCGCAAGGAUGUUCCCUUUGAUCAAGAACGAAAGUUGGGGGAUCGAAGACGAUCAGAUACCGUCGUAGUCUCAACUAUAAACUAUACCAGCUAGGGAUCGGCCAACGUUUAAUUAUUCGACUUGGUCGGCACCUUAUGAGAAAUCAAAGCAUCUGGGUUCCGGGGGGAGUAUGGUCGCAAGGCUGAAACUUAAAGGAAUUGACGGAAGGGCACCACCAGGCGUGGAGCCUGUGGCUUAAUUUGACUCAACACGGGAAAACUUACCAGGUCCAGACAUAGGAAGGAUUGACAGAUUGAUAGCUCUUUCUUGAUUCUGUGGGUGGUGGUGCAUGGCCGUUUUUAGUCGGUGAAGUGAUUUGUCUGCUUAAUUGCGUUAACGGACGAGACCCCAGCCUGCUAAAUAGCGCGGCCGAGCUUUGCUCGGUGCGAGCUUCUUAGAGGGACCAUGAUGCGCGAUAGCACAAGGAAGUUUGGGGCAACAACAGGUCUGUGAUGCCCUUAGAUGUUCUGGGCCGCACACGGGCUACACUGGCGCCUGCAACGAGCAUAUCAGCUGGCCCGAGAGGGUCUUGGCUAAUCUUUGGAACCGGCGCCGUGCUUGGGAUUGACCAUUGCAAUUGUUGGUCAUGCAACGAGGAAUGCCUUGUAAACGCGAGUCAUCAGCUCGCAUUGAAUACGUCCCUGCCCUUUGUACACACCGCCCGUCGCUCCUACUGAUGAAUGUUCCGAUGAAAUUUUCGGAGAGCGCCGGAGAACGGGGCUCUGCCCUGCAGAACUGGAGGCUCAAAGUCACUUAAAUCUGAACAUUUCGAGGAAGGAGAAGUCGUAACAAGGUAACC
rnacentral:rRNA from 1 species